AUCACCCGUCAUCUGAUCCAAUCGUCUUCCGUUUGGACCCUGAGAAGCGAAAGGUCCAGUUGAAAGGAUUUUUCCAUGGAGCACUAGUGAGAAGAGGUGUCGUUUGGAAAUACUGGGACGAAGAUGGAGGAUCCAGUUCAUUUGGUAAAGUGGUGCAGGUACCAAACGGUAGUGAGAUGACUCCGGGAAAAGUUUGGGUCCAGUGGCCCGAUAA